UACGUAGGGUGCGAGCGUUAAUCGGAAUUACUGGGCGUAAAGCGUGCGCAGGCGGUUGUGCAAGACAGAUGUGAAAUCCCCGGGCUCAACCUGGGAAUUGCAUUGUGACUGCACGGCUAGAGUGUGUCAGAGGGGGGUAGAAUUCCACGUGUAGCAGUGAAAUGCGUAGAGAUGUGGAGGAAUACCGAUGGCGAAGGCAGCCCCCUGGGAUAACACUGACGCUCAUGCACGAAAGCGUGGGGAGCAAACAGG
rnacentral:rRNA from 1 species